rnacentral:rRNA from 1 species
GACGAACGCUGGCGGCGUGCUUAACACAUGCAAGUCGAACGGAAAGGCCCCGCUUUUGUGGGGUGCUCGAGUGGCGAACGGGUGAGUAACACGUGAGUAACCUGCCCUUGACUUUGGGAUAACUUCAGGAAACUGGGGCUAAUACCGGAUAUGAGCUCCUGCUGCAUGGUGGGGGUUGGAAAGUUUCGGCGGUUGGGGAUGGACUCGCGGCUUAUCAGCUUGUUGGUGGGGUAGUGGCUUACCAAGGCUUUGACGGGUAGCCGGCAUGAGAGGGUGACCGGCCACAUUGGGCCUGCGAUACGGCCCAGAAUCCUACGGGAGGCAGCAGUGGGGAAUAUUGCACAAUGGGCGGAAGCCUGAUGCAGCAACGCCGCGUGCGGGAUGACGGCCUUCGGGUUGUAAACCGCUUUCGCCUGUGACGAAGCGUGAGUGACGGUAAUGGGUAAAGAAGCACCGGCUAACUACGUG